AAGGGUUAUUGAGAAAAUACUCUGAACUAACGCGGUUCAACAGAGAAGAAGAAAUUGGAAGCCUCUGCGAAGCGUGAAGGACCUUCUUUCAUUCUUUCUGCAUCUUAUCACCUUCUUUCUUUCUUGUUUUUUUCUUCUCUCUUAGCAAAGCUUCGGACCCAUAAAACCUCGAUCUUUUCUUUAUUUUAUUUCAUUUUCGCUUUUUUAAUUUUCAUUUGGAUUUGAUUUGUGAAUUAUUGUUACUUUCCCUGCAAGCUUCCCCUGAUUUGCACGUUCGAGUAAAAAAGAAAAGAUUUUUUUUUCUUUUUUCUCACUCUUUUGGGGGAAUUCAACGUUGUAUGAUGGUGUAAGAUUUGUUUGAUCUUUUUGUGGUAAAAAAGAAAACACUUGACUCUUUUUGGGUAUUUUGAAGUUUACAAAGGAAAAAGCUGAAAGCUUGUUUUGCUUUGUGAUUUUCAUGACAUAGUGGAUCAUGGCGCUGUUGCUGAAAUUUAAAGUUUUGAGCAUGGUUCUUAUCUGUAAAUAGAUUAAUGGGGAUUCUUAGAAGUUGUUGGUUGUUAUUAAUUAGGCUCUAGUUUGGUUUUAUUGGGUUUUGUCUUCUGCAGGUUUUUAGAAGGAAAUUUUGUUAUACCUUUUAUAUUCUGUCAUGGCCUUGUAAUUCACGAGCGGAUUGAUCAUUGGCUUGGUUUGAAGCUUUUGGAAGGAGUUAAUUCGUUUUGGGGUUUUGAAUUCGGUAGAGGGUGAGAUUUGUGACUGAGGAGAUUGGGAUUUGAGUGAUGGAUGAAGCUCAGAGCAGUUCCAAUUCCCUACCACCUUUUCUGGCAAAGACUUAUGAGAUGGUGGAUGAUCCUUCCACUGAUCCCAUUGUUUCUUGGAGUGCCUCUAAUAGAAGUUUCGUUGUGUGGAAUCCUCCGGAUUUUGCUAGGGAUUUGCUGCCUAGAUUCUUCAAGCACAAUAACUUCUCAAGCUUUAUCAGGCAGCUGAACACUUAUGGUUUUAAGAAGGUUGAUCCUGAACAAUGGGAAUUUGCAAAUGAUGAUUUUGUAAGAGGUCAACCACAUCGCAUGAAGAAUAUCCACAGACGAAAACCAGUUCAUAGUCAUUCUUUACAGAAUCUUCAGGCGCAAGCUCCACUGACAGAAUCAGAAAGGAUGAGUUUACAAGAUGAAAUAGAGAGGCUUAACCGUGAAAAAGAACAGCUUCUUAUGGAGCUACAGAGACAUGAACAGGAGUGGCAAGAAUAUGAGAUUCGAAUACACUGCUCGAAAGACCGUGUGGAGAAGAUGGAGCAGAAGCAUCAAAAGAUGAUCUCUUCUGUUUCCAGUGUACUGCAGAAACCUGGAAUUGACUUGAAUCAAUUGGCAUUGCUAGAAACCACAGAUAGAAAACGAAGGUUACCAAGAAGUGGCUAUCUUAGUGAUGAAACUAACAUUGAAGAUACAACUGAGACCGAACAAAUGUUACCCACAGAAAAUUCACAGGACACCUCCGUUUUGACAAUAAUCACAGAGCAGUUGGAUCAGCUCGAGUCAUCCAUGGUAUUUUGGGAAACCAUUUCAAAUGAUAUUUCUGACACGACCAUUCACAUUCAUUCAAGCUUGGAUUUUGAUGAAUCUACAAGUUGUGCUGAUAGUCUGUCUAUAUCUUGCCCCCUACUAGAUAUUGAAGUUCUGCCUAAGUCAUCUGGAAUUGACAUGAACUCUGAGCCUGCUUCUGCUCCUGUUUCCGAGCCUGCUUCCGCAUCAAAAGAACAAGCUGCCGGCACAACCCCUGUGGUGGUUGGUGUUAAUGAUGUAUUUUGGGAACAAUUCUUGACAGAGAAUCCUGGUUCAUCAGAAGCACAGGAAGUACAAUCAGAAAGAAAGUAUCAUGAUACUAGCAAGGGUGAAGGAAAACCUAGUGACCCAGGAAAGUUUUGGUGGAACAUGCGAAAUACAAGUAAUCUUCCAGAACAAAUAGGUCAUGUUAGUCAAGCAGAAAAAACAUAGUGACAAUUGAAAUUGAUUAUUUCUUCUAGAUUGUGAUGCCUCGGAAUCAGAUGUAAUAAAACUAGGUGCCACAUUGCACAAUAACCACAACUGCAAUUUGAAGCAUUGGUGUGGUCAGUUUCAGCUUGUUCCUUUGUCUGCUUUGAUCCUUGCUGAUGUUACUAUGCUGUAUUAACAGAAGCCACCUGCAGAUACCUCUGUUACCAUUCUUCCACUAAUGUCUCUUAUAUUGAUGGAAAUCACCUUGCCACUGAAGUUUAGCGAUCAAUUCGAAAUCGCAAAACACCAGUAGUGCAUGGCUACACUGGUUUAGAAACUAGAGUUGAAAGAGGAUGUUGUUUUUCUAUAUAUAAGAGAGUGCUUGAAACUUGCAUAGUAUAGUUUGGAUACUUGUUCCUUGAUUUUCUUCAUCCAAUAAUCUCGAGGUGAAAUGUAUGAAUUCAAGAUAGAAUAGCAUCCAAAUCAUUCAAUUGAUGAAGUGAAAAUCAACCAUAUGCCGAUCGUCCCUCAAUGGGGUGGAUGAAUGAGUUUUUGGUUUAUUUAA